UACAGAGGUCCCAAGCGUUGUUCGGAUUUACUGGGCGUAAAGGGCGCGUAGGUGGUUGGGUAAGUCUGAUGUGAAAUCUCCGGGCUCAACCCGGAAAUGGCAUUGGAAACUACCUGACUAGAGGGUUGGAGGGGGGACUGGAAUACUUGGUGUAGCAGUGAAAUGCGUAGAUAUCAAGUGGAACACCAGUGGCGAAGGCGAGUCCCUGGACAACUCCUGACACUGAGGCACGAAAGCUAGGGGAGCAAACAGG
rnacentral:rRNA from 1 species